UACGUAGGUGGCAAGCGUUGUCCGGAUUUACUGGGCGUAAAGAGCGCGCAGGCGGUCGAUCAAGUCGCGUGUGAAAGCCCCCGGCUCAACUGGGGAGGGUCACGCGAUACUGAUCGACUCGAAGGCAGGAGAGGGUAGUGGAAUUCCCGGUGUAGUGGUGAAAUGCGCAGAUAUCGGGGAGGAACACCCGUAGCGAAGGCGGCACUCUGGGCCGGAACUAGACGCUGGAGGAGCGGAAAGCGUGGGACAACAGGAGUAA
rnacentral:rRNA from 1 species